GUGGGAGGAGGCACAGUGGCGACUCUCCAUUCACGGGCAGCCAAAGUGUUCCCGACUGUGCCCCUCAAAAACCUAGCUGUCAUUCACAUUUAGAGGAGGGAGUACGAGACUGCAGAGUAGGAGAUAGCCCUGCACAUCAGGAUGAGAGCCUGGAUCCCCCUCCCUGGCCUACAGUACACCCUCAAACACCUGGGCCUGCUCUAAAAAUGCAGGGAAGGUUGAGAAGAUGAAAAAGCACAGUGAGGCGCUGCCCCUGUAUAAACAGGCUAUGAGAGUGUAUGAGGACAGUCUGGGAUGCUCACACCCACAGGUCGGAGAGACACUGAAGAACCUAGCUGUACUCAGCUAUGUGGAGGAAAGCAGCAGAGCUCAACAAUCCAUGGAGAUCAAAUAGGCGGAGCAGUCUCUGGUUUGUGGAAGGGACAUGUCGACACUCGUCCCCACUGGACGAGUGUCGACAUGGGCCUUUAGCCUGCGAGGGCCCACACCUCUCCCACAUGCCCCCAGGUGACCCCUCUCUAUUCCGCCCCUUCCAAGAACACAGGUGGUGGAUCUCAUUUUGCCUUUCAUUGAUCCUGUGUGUCCAUUUCCUCGUCUCCUUCUAGAAAUGCAUUGGUGGAGAAGGUCAGAGGGAGGGACCUUGCAUCUUCUCCUCGAAUGCAUUUUCAGGAAAGGAUAGAGGACAUGAAGAAUCAAGGAAGUACAAUUGAAGGCCAUCCAUGGUUCGCAAUCUGCUUUCCUGAGAAUAACAACGUCCAUCACACUCUGAAUAGUUUGUUAUGCUGCUUUGAGAUGGAACAGUGUAGUGGUGUCGCCUGUCAAGAGUACUGUAGCUAACUUAUAAAAUAAAUUAUGCUUUAAUGUCUGUUCAAUGGCUAUAUUGUUAAGUGUUCAAAAAAUAAAUAUAUAUUAUAAAUGUAAUCAUGAUGUAACGUCUGCUUCCAGCUCACACUCUCAAACACAUAGAUAACCUGAAUGCAGCUCACUCUCCAGAUCCCAAUCACCGGAAUUCUGAUCACCUGUUCACACACCUGUAUGUCAUUAUCACACACAAUUUAGUUCAGUUCUUUGCACCCAAUCAUUGUAGGUAUUGUUUGUUUUGUGACACACUUCUAGCCGGAGCGCUGGUUUUCCUGUAAUAUACUCCUCCCCUGUACUUUCCUGUUAUCAACCUAUUGCCUGAUCUUCUGGAUGAUGUUAAAUAGCUUUUUCCCUGCUUGUACUGUUGCCUUUUUGGACCUCCUGUGUUUGACCUGCCUGACCCUGGACUCAGCUACCUGCCUCCUCCUGUGGUCCUUUACAAUAAAUACCUGCUGCGCCCUG